UACGUAGGGGGCAAGCGUUGUCCGGAUUUAUUGGGCGUAAAGAGCUCGUAGGCGGUUUGUUGCGUCGGCUGUGAAAUCCCGAGGCUCAACCUCGGGUCUGCAGUCGAUACGAGCAAACUAGAGUGUUGCAGGGGAGACUGGAAUUCCUGGUGUAGCGGUGAAAUGCGCAGAUAUCAGGAGGAACACCGGUGGCGAAGGCGGGUCUCUGGGCAACAACUGACGCUGAGGAGCGAAAGCGUGGGGAGCAAACAGG
rnacentral:rRNA from 1 species